AAAUAUCAAAUUAUUUUUUCUUAAAUUUUAUAAAUAAAAAAUGUGAUCGUAAUAUAAUUCACGUAAGAGAUGUAAAAAGGAAAAAAUAAAACCUAACAAAAAUGUAAAAUAAUGGAGCCCACCAUACCCCAACUUAGGUGUUUAACAGCACAGCGUGACAGUGACUCCGUUGGUGGAGAGAGAUACGGUAACGUUAACCUCCAGAGGAUCGACGGCCACAGUGAUGACACGUGGAUAAUUAAGACGCAACUACGUUGACAAUAAUUCUAAGAUUUGAAGUGAUAUCGUUCAUCCUUAACAGUCUCAUCAUCACCUCUCUCUCUCUCUCUCUCUCUCUCUCUCUCUCUCUCUCCAGGAAGAGGUUCAAAGCGGUGUAUAGUUGAGAAAUUUUCUUCAGGUUUGAUCUUCAAAUUGUGGAGGUUAAAUUGACGGGCAGAAUUGAAAUGGGAUUCAUUGUGGUGGUGUCUUUGCCAUUGAUCCUCUUCAUAUUGAUAUUAGUACUUGCUUUUUACCUUCUGGGUAGGUCCCAGGGCCGAAGAGAAGCAAGUGUUCCACAGUAUUAUGGGCCUCCUGCUCCUCCAGUUCAAGCCCAGCCUCAUCCUCAGGACAAAGCACCAUCUCAGGUCUAGGAUGAAUUGUUUGGAUUUCCAUCCUUUGUAUAAUUUUUUACAUUUUAUUUUUGACUAGAAAAGUCGAGAAAAUGUGUAUUUUUUUUUUAAUCAUUGAAAAUAUGUUUGGUUAACUUUGGCAUUUAUAAUCUAUGUAUAUAAUUGUAAUUCCUUUU